CCGUAUCUGGAAGGCUUUCAAACAAUUAAAUACUCCAGUUUUACAGUGGUAACAAGCAGGGCCACCCCAUAAUGACUCAAAUAUGCACAGGACCAGAUGUUCUCUUUGAAACAAGAGAGAGAGCAGUGAGCUUUACCUGUUGUCUGUGAAUAAACAUCAUCUUUGAUGUGAGGCUUUGUAUUGAACCCUCCUGACUAACUGAACUCUGGCUAACAGAUAAAUUGUUUACAUCACACCACACCGUGAAAUUCAAUUCUGUAUGCUGUUAAUGGUAGACUCACACCAGUGUCUUUCUGUGUGUGUGUGUGUGUGUGUGUGUGUGUGUGUGUGUGUGUGUGUUUGUGCCAGACUGAACAGCAGAUACCGCAGACCCCAGCUGAGACACAUGAUCAUCACCUGCUCUGAAAGACAGCGGAUUUGCACUGAAGGAGACCAACAUGAAUACAUGACUCGUUUCCAAGGAUACUGUGGGAGGAUGGCUGCCGGCUCCAGGCUACAUUAGCUGCUACUAGCAUUACACACCAGAAUCUCAAACCAAAGGGUCGGCGGUCGAGUUGCAUUGUGGGUAGGGACGGAACAUCUGAAGCCUGGACCAGUCACGUUGCACCACAGACGUCCGUACUGUAGCCCACACUCUCCCUCCAUGACUCUCACCAGCUAAAUGUUAGUCUUCCAUAUCGAUGAGUAUGUGGGCAGCGGGAGAGCUGGCAUCAAGCAGUCACUACUCAAAGUGUCAGAAUCAAGAAAAUUAGAGCUUUGUAAAUGUAUAUUAUCAGUGUGGACCGACUUUUGCUUUUGACAUGGAAGGUAAAUGUUGCUGGGAAGUGCUCUGUCACUCAGUAACUUACUAACAUUACUAUACAUACAUACUGUACAUACCAUACAAGCAUCCCCACUCACAGAUACAUUCACCUGCCUCUCUAAUCUCCAGCCUCUUCCCCCUCCACCCCACCUCUUCCUCUCCUAUGCCUAUUUCUGUCGUCUUAUUUGGAGUCAUUGAUAGAAGUGUGGUAGCUCAACACCCCCUCCCACACACACACACACACACACACACACACACACACACACACAUACACACCCGUCCAUCCACUCUCCUCCAUCCACCUCCCAUCUUACCCUGCCGUUACAGUCGCUGUGGUCUCCCUGCCCCUGCAACACCCCUGCUGAGCACACGCGGUUAGUACAGUCUGCCUGUGCUCUCUCCUUAUAAGGGCAAAAUACAUUGACAGAGGCAGAGAUAGGGGGGCUGUACCAGCACAGGCAGGCAGGUAGGGGGACAGUGGCUCUAACAGGAGGAGAGAGAAAUUAUGCCAGAGGAGCAGAGAUUAGGAAAAAGUGAACAGGGAGAAGGAGAGACAAAGAUGGCCAGGGAGAGAGGGUGAUGGGGAUUGUGUCAUAAAAAAUUGGGUUCAACUAAAGCUUGGAGGCUUAUGAAAGAAAAUAGCAACAUUUGUCCACUGAGGAGGCCAGUAGCACAUUUUGUGGCAUUGAUUUUCAGAUUUCAAGAUCUAGUUUUUCUCCGUGAAUUUCAUUUCAUUUCAGGGUAGAAAACCCUACCAAGAAAC